AUCAAACCCUGUGUCCUCAGCCCCAUUUUGUCUCUGUGCCUGGACCCUCUACAUUGCAAUAAACUGCGUUUGGAGCUGUGCACACAGACCCGUCUCUGGCCUUGUUCAUCAGCAGGAUUUCCCAUUCCCAAACCUUGGCCGAAUGGAGGGGGUGGCUGUGAGGAAGAGGAAGAAGCCCCGUGACACCGAGACAGACAAGGAUCUGAGGAUGGAGACAAGGGAGGACAAAUCCCCAUGGCAGAACCUCAUGGCAGAGGCUGUUCUGAGCGAUGCCACAGGGCAGAAACCCAAGGGGGAGAAAAAGCCUCAGAGAUCCCACAGGAGGAGGGCCUGCAAAUCCAGCCCAGGUUGCUCUGAGGGGGAAAGACCUGCCCUGUUCCAGGAAGGUGGACAGAGCUUCAGCCAGAGCUCAAAGCUGUUCUCCCAUGAGCAGCUUCAUGAUGGGGAGAAGCCUUACAAGUGCUUGGAGUGUGGGAAGAGUUUCAGGCAGAGCUCCCACCUUCUCUGCCACCAGAUGAUCCACACUGGGGAAUGAGCCUGUGAGUGUGGGGAAUGUGGGAAGGGCUUCAGGUGCAGCUCAGAACUUGUGAGGCAUGAACGCAUCCACACUGGGGAGAAGCCGUAUGAGUGUCCCGAGUGCCAGAAGAGGUUUGCCACCAGCUCCAGUCUCCUCCUGCAUGAGCAGAUUCACACCAAGGAGAAGCCCUUCUGCUGCCCUGACUGCAGGAAGGGCUUCAAGAACAACUCCAACCUCAUCAGACACUGGUGCAUCCACACCGGGGAGAGGCCCUACAAGUGUCCCCAGUGUGGGAAGAAGUUUCAGACCAGCUCCAAUCUCCUCCUGCAUGAGCGGAUUCACACAGAGGAGAGGCCCUUCUGCUGCCCCGACUGCGGGCAGGGCUUCAAGCACAACUUGACCCUCAUCACCCACUGGCGCAUCCACACUGGGAAGAGGCCCUAUGAGUGUCCCCAGUGUGGGAAGAGCUUCACCCAGAGCUCUCACUUGACCCAACACCAACGGAGGCACCAGUAAGGGAAGCCCUGCAAAUGCCGUAGUUGCAGGAAGAGCUUCAUGCCCAGUUGCAGCUUCAUCCCCCAUUGUAAGACCCAUGUUGGGAAGAGCCCUGGUGAUCGAUGGUCCCUGUGAUACAUGCUGGGAAGACACCUGUACCUUUUCCUACCCUUGCCAACGACAUGAUGUGGGAUCAAAUAACAUGAGGGUCAGGCCAUGGCCCUGUCAUUACAUUCACUCCCAUCUCUAGUCAGUGCCAGGAGCACUAACGAGACUCCCUGUCUCCCUGAAGAGAAGGGUGUCCUUCCCAGGAGCGAGGAUAAACAUGGUUGGGUAGAGGCAGCCAGUGGUAAUGUAGUUUUUCCUGCAAAUCCUUUCUCUUCUUCCCUGCUGUUAUCGAUAUUGUUUCUGUUGCUCUUUGUUCUUUGUCUUGUUGCUAUUCCCGAUAAAU